AACAAGCUUUGAUAUAGCUUUCACAUAGAAUAGAAAACCUGCACUCAAACUAGGAGCAAAACUUAAACAACAAAGUGAACAUAAAGAAUAUUAAAACGCUUUUGGUUUGAAAACAUAGAAUAUUUAUCAAUAUUCACUACAAGAAAAAAGGAAUUUAGCGAUGGUCAAUUAGCGGCAAUUGACCUGGAACCGCAGCCGCUUCUACAUAUACUGACUGUUAGUUACCCGCCGCUGCUGUACAUGUAAUAGUGGCGUAUGACUUAUAGGUAAUGCCGGCGGAUAGAACCGCCGCUGCUUGCUCAUCAGAAAUUUAGGAAAAAAUAGAACCUUUUAUUACUUUCCCCUUAAUUUUUUUUCUUCACUUUUUCCCUCAUCAUGUUAAACUCUCAAAAGAACACUCUUUCUCCAUAGCUGCCGUUCCGAUCGUCGCCACCUCUCUUCCUCUCUCUCGGUGUUUCCGAUUCAGGUUCGUUCACAAUUCGGUGUUUCCGAUUCAGCUCUGAUUUCACCUUCAAGCUGCAGAUUCAUUCUUCCUCAUCAACCUUCAAGCUUCAGAUUCAUUCUCUGAUUUCACCUUCGUUCACCCUUCUCCUCAAAUUCGUUCAACCUUCAGCUUCAAUCUUCAUAAUUCAGGUUCAUUUGAUUAAAUUUGGUAAUUAGGUUCACUUAGUUUAAUAUGAUUUUGAAAUCUGGUAAUUAGGUUUUUGAAAUUUCAAUGUUGUUCAAAUAGGUUUUUGAAACCCUAUUUUAGUUCUAUUAUAGUGAUAUCUUGCCUAUUAGAAUGCUUAAUUUGUGGUUAAUUGGUUAAUAGUAUAAUCAUAGUUCACACACAAACAUUUAAAAUGUUAUCAAAUUUUGGACUUAACAAAUUAAGGCCACAAGUUUUGACUAAUAUUUUCACUAGGAGGUCUUUGAUGUUAAUAAUUUCUUAUAUUCAUUGGAUAAUUCAUAGCAAUAUGAUAAAUACAAUUUCUAAUACAAUGUGUAAUCCCUUCUAGAACCGUCGCUCAUUUAGACGUAUUCAAUUUUUAAUACAAUUUCUUUGGACUAUUUUAGGUUAAGAUAUUAUUGGAGAAUGGAUUGAUUUGUCUAGUGCAUAUAUGCUUUGGUUAGGGCAAUUGAGAGCAAAUCUCUUGAGGUUGAUCAGCAGUGACUAUAUGUUUUACUUUUGCUAAAAUUCUUAAUGGUAUACCCUUUUACAAUUAGUAUCUUCUUAUGAUUUUUACGAGUUCUUGGUGAAUUUGAUGAUGCAUUUGACACUGACAGUUUAAAUUUUAGGCUUUGCAUCUGCCUUAUCAUGUUUAAGCAUUAACUGAAUUUGGUCACCUGCUAAUUUUUGGGGCUAUUCUAGUUUCUAAUCAUGUCAUUGUCUAGAUAUUCAUUGAUUGUAUUAUGCUCUACGUUGAGUCACAAGCAGUUCUUUGUACAUUUGCAUUGGCCCUUUGGUUGUGCUAAUUAGUAUUAAUAUGGUACUGAGUAAUGACUCUAAUGAACCUGACUGCAAGUUUCAUAUAGGUUUUCUUUCUAUUUGAGAUUUUGAGUUAUAUGAUUAUGAUCUGUCCUUUCCAUUGUGAUUGUAGAACAGUCGUCUUAGCUUCAAUACAUAAUAUACUUUAUAAUUUAACUGGAUGUAAUGCAUUUUCUGUAUUGCAUUGAGCUCUGUAUGAGUUUUUUUUAUGAGUAUACUUUGAAACAAGACAUUGAAUUCUUCGACACCGAAGUUCGGACUUCUGAUGUUGUUUUUGCAAUCAACACUAAUGUUGUCAUGGUCCAAGAUGCCAUUAGUGAGAAGGUUGGGUGAAAAGGGAGAAAUAAGAAAAUGUUUUUCCACAUUGUGCUGGAGUGAAACAUGCAAUUGCAUCCACGCUACUUUGGUCGUAAUCUUCGCGAUAAUCUUGUUUCCAAGCUAAUGAAAGAUGUGGAAGGCACUUGCAGGUCAUUCAUUCAUUCACCUUAAGAUCAUUCACUACAAGAAAAAUAGCAUAUAGUGGCGGGCAAACUGGGGCGGGUGGUCUACAAACCGCCACCCCUAGCCAUUUAAACCAGCUGUGGCACAGAUUAAAUCCUCAUCUUUGUUUUUCACGAUUUCCCUUGAAACGAAACAUAGUUCCUCUUCGCUGCCAUAAUUCUUCUUCGCACUAGCUCUUCUUCUUCGCCCUUGUUCUUCUUCGUCGUAGCUUCUGCCACAGCAGUUCCUCUCGUCACUGCCAUAUCUCUUCCUCAACGAAGGGCAGCAAUACUCUAUUUCCGCUUCUCAUAAACCCAGAGUGUUGUCUCAAAGUUUCGAUACCAAGGAAGUGUCAACUUGGUAGGAAGUGGCAACUUGGUCUUGCUGGAGUUCUUCACAUAAUUGAGGCUCUUACAGAUAACAACAGCCUGGAGGAGCUUAACCUUGCUGAUAAUUCUGUUCCGACUGAACUUUCUGCUCUACAAUGUGAUUUACCAUCUAAAAGUUGCUCACAUAACCAGGAAGAUAAACUUGAUACUAUGAAAGUGGAUGAUAAUCAAGAGGCCUUUUGCUCUCUAAAUACUUUGGAUGAACAACUGGAAGUUGCGUGUUAUGGUCAUGCAAUUAGUUUUGAAAUUUCAAUUAGUCUUGUGAAGUUUUUGAUCUGACAUGUUAUUUCUUAUGAAAUAUGUUAUUGCUAGGUUACUUAUGCAUAUUCAUUUGCUAGUUUGCUUAUGAAGGGUUUUAUCUGACAUUGCUAGUUUUCUUAAACACCAUCAUCAAUUAGUGUCUAUCUAUAGAACAUUUAAAUAUAUUCUCAUGCUUAUUGUUUUUAUUGUUUGUUUUGCAGAAAUGCCUAGACCAAGGAGUGAAUUGAUAAACAAUGAGGAGAUGCAUGGAGGAUGAAGUUGGAUGCGUUUGGAUCAAUAUGCAUGAAAUUCUGAAUUCUUAAACUAAAUUUGUUAAUCGGAUGCAUUCAGUAAUGAACGAGGGUGGGAGGCUUGGAGUUCACCAAUAUAAUGUAGAACUUAUUCUCUUGACAUGGUUCAGGCAAAGGCACAUGGUGCUAAUGUAGUGGAAGUUGCCUAUCCUUAUUGUUUAUCAUGGCCAAAUUGUGAAGGUGGUUUACAUGAUGACGAUGUGCACGUAUGCGCGGUUGCAAGCGUUAAAGCUUGCUUUGGAAUUAGGGGCUGUUUUUUUUAUAGAAUUGGAUUUCAAGGUAUACCAACAGUAAUUCAAGUGUGAAAUUAGAUGAUCUAUAUAGUUGAUUUUCUAUAUUGCUUUUGUGUGUUAACUCAAAGCAAUUUUGAUGUAAACUUAUGAGUAUUGUUUUCUACAUGAAUUGUGAGAAUCAAUUACUUGA